rnacentral:rRNA from 1 species
GACGAACGCUGGCGGCGUGCUUAACACAUGCAAGUCGAACGGAAAGGCCCCAGCUUGCUGGGGUACUCGAGUGGCGAACGGGUGAGUAACACGUGGGUGAUCUGCCCUGCACUCUGGGAUAAGCCUGGGAAACUGGGUCUAAUACCGGAUAGGACCGUGCUUUAGUGUGUGCGGUGGAAAGUUUUUCGGUGCAGGAUGAGCCCGCGGCCUAUCAGCUUGUUGGUGGGGUAAUGGCCUACCAAGGCGGCGACGGGUAGCCGGCCUGAGAGGGUGUACGGCCACAUUGGGACUGAGACACGGCCCAGACUCCUACGGGAGGCAGCAGUGGGGAAUACUGCACAAUGGGCGCAAGCCUGAUGCAGCGACGCCGCGUGGGGGAUGACGGCCUUCGGGUUGUAAACCCCUUUCGGCAGGGACGAAGCUUUUGUGACGGUACCUGCAUAAGAAGCACCGGCUAACUACGUG